AUUGAACGCUGGCGGCAGGCUUAACACAUGCAAGUCGAGCGGAGAUGAGGUGCUUGCACCUUAUCUUAGCGGCGGACGGGUGAGUAAUGCUUAGGAAUCUGCCUAUUAGUGGGGGACAACAUUCCGAAAGGAAUGCUAAUACCGCAUACGCCCUACGGGGGAAAGCAGGGGAUCUUCGGACCUUGCGCUAAUAGAUGAGCCUAAGUCGGAUUAGCUAGUUGGUGGGGUAAAGGCCUACCAAGGCGACGAUCUGUAGCGGGGCUGAGAGGAUGGUCCGCCACACUGGGACUGAGCCACGGCCCAGAAUCCUACGGGAGGCAGCAGUGGGGAAUAUUGGACAAUGGGCGUAAGCCUGAUCCAGCCAUGCCGCGUGUGUGAAGAAGGGCUUUUGGUUGUAAAGCACUUUAAGCGAGGAGGAGGCUACCUGGAUUAAUACUCUAGGAUAGUGGACGUUACUCGCAGAAUAAGCACCGGCUAACUCUGUGCCAGCCGCCGCAGUAACAC
rnacentral:rRNA from 1 species